AGGAUUAACGCUGGCGGCGUGCCUAACACAUGCAAGUCGAACGAGGUAGCAAUACCUAGUGGCAGACGGGUGAGUAACGCGUGGUCAACCUACCGUUGAGUGGGGGAUAACUAGCCGAAAGGUUAGCUAAUACCGCAUACGAGUCUCGGGGGCAUCCCUGGGCCUUAAAAAGGAGCAAUCCGCUCGAUGACGGGACCGCGUCCCAUUAGCUAGAUGGUGGGGUAAUGGCCUACCAUGGCUCCGAUGGGUAGCUGGUUUGAGAGAGCGACCAGCCACACUGGGACUGAGAAACGGCCCAGACUCCUACGGGAGGCAGCAGUGAGGAAUUUUCCGCAAUGGGCGAAAAGCCUGACGGAGCGACGCCGCGUGUGGGAAAGAAGGCCUUCGGGUCGUAAACCACUGUCGAAGGGGACGAUAAUGACGGUACCCUUGGAGGAACGCCCGGCUAACUACGCGCCAGCAGCCGC
rnacentral:rRNA from 1 species